AACGAACGCUGGCGGCGUGCUUAACACAUGCAAGUCGAACGGGAUUCGGAGCUUGCUCCGAUGAGAGUGGCGCAUGGGUGAGUAACGCGUGGAUAACCUGCCCUGGUAUCUGGAAUAACAUCUCGAAAGGGGUGCUAAUACCGGAUAAGCUUACGGGGUCUUCGGACUCUGUGAGAAAAGGUGGCCUCUGUUUCAUGCUACCGUAUCAGGAUGGGUCCGCGUACCAUUAGCUAGUUGGUGGGGUAAUGGCCCACCAAGGCGACGAUGGUUAGCUGGUCUGAGAGGAUGAUCAGCCACACUGGAACUGAGACACGGUCCAGACUCCUACGGGAGGCAGCAGUGGGGAAUUUUGCGCAAUGGGGGAAACCCUGACGCAGCAACGCCGCGUGAGUGAUGAAGGCUUUCGGGUCGUAAAGCUCUGUCAGAAGGGAAGAAAUGGGACGUGCUAAUAUCGCGUUUCCUUGACGGUACCUUCAAAGGAAGCACCGACUAACUCCGUGCCAGCCGCCGCAGUAACAC
rnacentral:rRNA from 1 species